rnacentral:rRNA from 1 species
UACGUAGGGUGCAAGCGUUAAUCGGAAUUACUGGGCGUAAAGCGUGCGCAGGCGGUUUUGUAAGUCUGUCGUGAAAGCCCCGGGCUCAACCUGGGAAUUGCGAUGGAGACUGCAAGGCUUGAAUCUGGCAGAGGGGGGUAGAAUUCCACGUGUAGCAGUGAAAUGCGUAGAGAUGUGGAGGAACACCGAUGGCGAAGGCAGCCCCUGGGUCAAGAUUGACGCUCAUGCACGAAAGCGUGGGGAGCAAACAGG